rnacentral:rRNA from 1 species
AAACUCAAAGGAAUUGGCGGGGGAGCACCACAAGGGGUGAAGCCUGCGGUUCAAUUGGAGUCAACGCCAGGAAACUUACCAGGGGAGACAGCAGGUUGAGGGUCAGGCUGAAGACCUUACCUGACGAGCUGAGAGGAGGUGCAUGGCCGUCGCCAGCUCGUGCCGUGAGGCGUCCUGUUAAGUCAGGCAACGAGCGAGACCCCCACCGGUAAUUGCUAUUUGGGGUCGAAAGAUCCCAAAGGCUAGUUACCGGGACUGCCGUCGCUAAGACGGAGGAAGGAGGGGGCCACGGCAGGUCAGUAUGCCCCGAAACCCCUGGGCCACACGCGGGCUGCAAUGGUAGGGACAAUGGGUUCCAACCUCGAAAGAGGAAGGCAAUCCUCAAACCCUACCCCAGUUGUGAUUGAGGGCUGUAACCCGCCCUCAUGAAUAUGGAAUCCCUAGUAACCGCGUGUCAUCACCGCGCGGUGAAUACGUCCCUGCUCCUU